rnacentral:rRNA from 1 species
CUCCUACGGGAGGCAGCAGUGAGGAAUAUUGGUCAAUGGGCGCAAGCCUGAACCAGCCAUGCCGCGUGCAGGAUGACGGUCCUAUGGAUUGUAAACUGCUUUUGCACAGGAAGAAACACUACUUCGUGAGGUAGCUUGACGGUACUGUGAGAAUAAGGAUCGGCUCACUCCGUGCCAG